UUAAAUUUUGCAUGCUUGUUUAGAAUGAAAUCAUGCAUUAUUUUACACAGUUUUGAUAAUUUGUGGGCUUUCUGUUUGUAUAAAUAGGCCUUUGUGUACACUAUGCAAAUAACAUAUUAUAAAAUUAUUGGUUUAUAGUUGCCCAAAUGCAAUUGUUCAACAUGUUUUUGAUAAUUAUUGACCUUCAGAGUCUAGAGAAUUGUACUUCAGUGGUUUUAUUGAUUUUCAUCUUAAACCGUAUCACAAGUAUGCCAAAGUAACUUUUUAAAAUAAUCUUGAAUAUUUAAUUAACAGCUUUAUUGACAACAUUGGUCCCAGAGGCAAAGUUGUUCAGAAUGAGGAGAUUUAUCAUAUGAUAUGAAGAUUUAGUGUUUUUGAAUGAAUAUAUGAACAUUUUCAAACAAUUUGAGGCCAUUUACCAUAUAAAUCUUGUGUUUUGAGACCUUUUCUACUGUUAUAGCGCCACCUAUGGUCUGAUCUCCAUGAAACUUUGCAUGCUUGUUAAGAGUCACCUGAUACAUGAUUUCACUGAGUUUCAUAAAGUUUUGAGUUUUCCUUUAGGUUUUAUAGGCUUUGGGGUAUGUUUGGCCACACCCCUUUUUCUAAAUUACCCCGUUGCAGCUAACCAAAGGACAAAAUUCAACAUGUUUUUAAUAAUUAUUGAUCUAGAGAGUCCACAGAAUAUUACUGCAGUGGUUUGGUUCCGAUCGGGCAAAAAACCUAGGACUAGUUCGCAAAAGUAGGUUUUUAACAUAUUUGUGAAUAACAAUUGAACGAUUUGAUUGACAGCAAUGGUUCUUGAGGCAAAGUUGUGCAUUACGAGGAGAUCUAUCAAAUGAUAUGCAUAUUGUGUUGAUAUGUGAAACACCACGUGAUUACAGAGCCAUAAAACUCGUUAGCGCCAACUAAUGGCCGAUUUCUUUCAAAAUUCUUACAGACCUUAAGGUUCAUGAGUCGAACGUACCCAGUGAGUUUCGUUCCGAUCAACAUCCGUUAACCCUUUCAAAUAGGUGCUUAAAUUUGUUUGGCCAAUGGCGGCCAUGUUUUUUUGAGAUAUGCAAAUGUCCUCAUAGGUACUUGUGCCCCUUCAGACCAAGACAUUGCAUACCAAUUUUCAAGUCGAUCGAGCCAACGGUUGCCUAGUUAUAGCCAUUUAUGUGUUUUUUCUAUCUUAUAGCGCCCCCAAGUGGCAGAGAUGCGCAAUUUUUUUUAUUUUACCCAAAAUUGAGCUCGUACAUAUGUGUACCAAGUUUGGUGAAGUUAUCUCAUUCCGUUCAAGAGUUAUAGUUAAAAUAGCAUUUGGCCAACGUUACUAUAGACGCUUUUUGGCAUACUGUUUCGUGUAAAAAUUGAAAUUUCAACUUUUUUUUGAUAAUUAUUGAUAUUGAGUGUCCAGGGAAUAUUUCUGAAGUGGUUUGGUUCUGAUUGGUUGAAAAUCCUAGGACUAGUUCGCAAAAGUAGGUUUCGGAUAUAGCUCGAUUUUGCGAGAAAACGGUGUGUCGUAGACCCCAAAAAGGCGCCGUACACUUUUGUUCGGGCUAACCCAAGGAUUGCUAUGAUGCCAUGUUUUUGAGUUUAUGGCUAACGGUUUACGAUUCACGGCCAAAAACGUCCAAAAUUUUUGUUUUUUGCGCUAUAGCGCCCCCGUUUGGCCGAUUGGGCUGAGACUUUGAUAAGUUCUCCCCAAAAUGAGCUCUACGAUCUGUCCAAAUUUCAGCUCUCUAGGCCUUACGGUUUGGGCUGCACGUUCAGUUCUAGGGCGGAAGAAUAAUAAUAAUAAUUAAAGCUGCAAGCAGCAUUUACGGGGUUCAAGCACAUUAAGGCCUCUGAGGUGGUCUGAGCCAACCUGGAUGUACGGAUGACAGUUAAACACAUCCAAAACGGAGAAUAGGCUGACAGACAGACACACGCACUGAAAUUAAAUGAUUAAACUAGUUUUAAGAGUUUGGAUGUCAUUUUCAGGUUUCACUGUAAUCAUAAUGUGGCAAAAUUUUAAAAACUGGUAAGUCUGUAUGAACAAAAUGGAAAACUUUAACUCAGUGAGAUUUAAAAUGUUGUAACAGUGUUUUUUUUUAUUAUUGUUUAGGCAUGAAUUCAUAAAUCUUCUCAAAAGUACUGUUUCAAUUUGCUGAAUGAGCCCAUUAGUGGUCUUCCGCUGCCAUCUAGUGGUUGCAUUUACUCAAACAACACUGUUUUUAAACAUAACUGUUAUAGUGUAAAGUUUUUUGCCCAAUCUCUCUUAAAUUUUGCAUGCUUGUUUAGAAUGAAAUUAGGCUUUAUUUUACACAGUUUUGAUAGUUUGUGGGCUUUCUGUUUGUAUAAAUAGGCCUUUGUGUACACUGUGAAAAGAACAUAUUAUACAAUCACUGGUUUAUAGUUGUCCAAAUGCAAUUUUUCAACAUGUUUUUCAUUAUUAUUGACCUUCAGAGUCUAGAGAAUUGUACUUCAGUGGUUUUAUUGAUUUUCAGCUUAAAGCCUUGGACUACUUUGCCAAAGUAACUUUUUUAAAUAAUCUUCAAUAUUUAAUUAACAGCUUUAUUGACAACAUUGGUCCCAAAAGUUGUUCAGAAUGAGGAGAUCUAUCAUAUGAUAUGAAGAUCUAGUGUUUAUGUGAAUAUAUGAGCAUUUUCAGACAAUUUGAGGCCAUUUACCAUAUCAAUCUUAUGUUUUGAGACCUUUUCUACUGUCAUAGCGCCACCUGUGGUCCGAUCUCCAUGAAAAUUUGCAUGCUUGUUAAGAGUCACCUGUUACAUGUUUUCACCAAGUUUCAUAAAGUUUUGAGUUUUCGUUUAGGUUUUAUAUGCUUUUGGGUAUUUUGGUCACGCCCCUUUUCUAAUUUAGCCAGUUAAAGCUAACCAAAGGACAAAAUUCAACAUUUUUUUGAUAAUUAUUGAUCUAGAGAGUCCAGAGAAAAUUACUGCAGUGGUUUGGUUUCGAUCAGGUAAAAAAUCUGGGACUAGUUCGCAAAAGUAAGUUUUUAACAUAUUUGUGAAUAACAAUUGAACGAUUUGAUUGACAUCUUCGCUCCUUGAGGCAAAGUUGUUCACAAAGAGGAGAUCUAUCAUAUGAUAUGAAGAUCUAGUGUUUGUGUGAAUGUAUGAACAUGUCCUACAAAUUGUGAUCAUUUUCUAUUGAAAAUGUUUGUUUUUGAGGCUUUUUCAACUGUUAUAGCGCCACCUAUGAUCCGAUCUCCAUGAAACUUUGCAUGCUUGUUAAGAGUCACCUGAUACAUGAUUCCACGAAGUUUCAUAAAGUUUUGAGUUUUCGUUUAGGUUUUAUAGGCUUUGGGGUAUGUUUGGCCACACCCCUUUUACUAAAUUACCCCUUUACAGCUAACCAAAGGACAAAAUUCAACAUUUUUUUGAUAAUUAUUGAUCUAGAGAGUCCACAGAAUAUUACUGCAGUGGUUUGGUUCCAAUCGGACAAAAAACCUAGGACUAGUUCGUAAAAGUAGGUUUUUAACAUAUUUGUGAAUAACAUUUGAACAAUUUGAUUGACAGCAAUGGUUCUUGAGGCAAAGUUGUGCAUUAUGAGGAGAUCUAUCAAAUGAUAUGCAUAUUUCGUUGAUAUGUGAAACACCACGUGAUUACAGAGCCAUAAAACUCGUUAGCGCCAACUAGUGGCCGAUUUCUUUCAAAAUUCUUACAGACCUUAAGGUUCAUGAGUUGAACGUACCCAGCGAGUUUUGUUCCGAUCAACAUCCGUUAACCCUUUCAAAUAGGUGCUUAAAAUUGUUUGGCCAAUGGCGGCCAUGUUUUUUUGAGAUAUGCAAAUGUCCUCAUAGGUACUUGUGCCCCUUCAGACCAAGACACUGCAUACCAAUUUUCAAGUCGAUCGAGCCAACGGUUGCCUAGUUAUAGCCAUUUAUGUGUUUUUUCAAUCUUAUAGCGCCCCCAAGUGGCAGAGAUGCGCAAUUUUUUUUGUAUGACCAAAGAUUGAGCUCAUACAUAUGUGUACCAAGUUUGGUGAAGAUAUCUCAUUCCGUUCAAGAGUUAUAGCUAAAAUAGCAUUUGGCUAACGUUAGCAUAGACGCUUUUUGGUGUACUGUUUCGCGUAAGAAUUGAAAUUUCAACUUUUUUUUGAUAAUUAUUGAUAUUGAGUGUCCAGGGAAUAUUUCUGAAGUGGUUUGAUUCCGAUUGGUUAAAAAUCCUAAGACUAGUUCGCAAAAGUAGGUUUCGGAUAUAGCUCGAUUUUGCGAGAAAACGGUGCGUCGUAGAGCAAAAAAUGCAGCUGUGCACUUUUGUUCGGGCUAACCCAAGGAUUGCAACGAUGCCUUGUUUUUGAGUCUACGGCUAACGGUUUACGAUCUGCGGCCAAAAAUGUCCAAAAUUUUAGUUUUUUGCGCUGUAGCGCCCCCGUUAGGCCGAUUGGGCUGAGACUUUGAUAAGUUCUCCCCAAAAUGAGCUCUACGAUCUGUCCAAAUUUCAGCUCUCUAGGCCUUACGGUUUGGGCUGCACGUUCAGUUCUAGGGCGGAAGAAUAAUAAUAAUAAUAAAAAUCCUAACAAUUACAAGAGGGUUUCAGCACUGCGUGCUUGAACCCCUAAUAAUAAUAAUAAAAAUCCUAACAAUUACAAUAGGGUUUCAGCACUGCGUGCUUGAACCCCUAAUAAUAAUAAUAAUAAAAAUCCUAACAAAUACAAUAGGGUUUCAGCACUGCGUGCUUGAACCCCUAAUAAUUAAAGCUGCAAGCAGCAUUUUACCGG